UUAUUAUAGCAAAGAGGAUACACCUGUUCCCAUACCGAACACAGAAGUUAAGCUCUUUAGCGGCAAUGGUACUUGGUGGGCAACCGCCUGGGAGAGUAG
rnacentral:rRNA from 2 species